GGGCUUUUGGGUGUUGGACAACCAUAGGCAAAACUGAAAUGGAACAGGGGCAGAAAAUAGCACACUUUUACUCUACGCAACUGUUGCUUUUUCAUGAUCUUCAGGAAUUUUACUGGGAUAAUUAUCCAAAUAAAUUGCAAGCAUUCUAUCCAAAUGGAGCUCUUUCUGAGAUGAAGAGAAUUCUCAAUGUCAAGAUUUGAACAAGAAGAGAAUGGAAUACACAAUAUGGUUGUGGAAAAUGCACUAGAAUCAACAAACAUGGGGACUAAUUCAACUCGGAUAUCAUGUCUUCAGAGAAGUUUCUCCUGCCCUCCUCUCCCUGUAGAAUUAAGUAUUCUUCCACUGUGCCACCCUCUAACUUGUGCUCAUAUCUUCCUCUAUUGUAGUUAUGUGUUCACAUCCCUGUUGUUUUUGUACCGGCUUCUCCCAAAGGGAGACAUUUAGUCUUAUUCUUCUUGGUAACUUUAGCACAGACCUGGCAGAUUGUUGACACUCAACAAAUGUUUAUUGACUCAAAUGCAUUCAGUUGAACAUUGACCUUUGAUCAACUCUGGGAAAAGUCUGCAAAGCUAGUUAGGACAUUCAGAAAUUCAUUUCAUUUCAAUCCUAACUAAAUAAAUUAUUGAAGUCUCAGAA
ensembl:lncRNA MIR99AHG mir-99a-let-7c cluster host gene